rnacentral:rRNA from 1 species
UACGUAGGGUGCGAGCGUUAAUCGGAAUUACUGGGCGUAAAGCGUGCGCAGGCGGUUCGUUGUGUCUGUGGUGAAAGCCCCGGGCUUAACCUGGGAAUGGCCAUGGAAACUGGCGAGCUGGAGUGUGGCAGAGGGGGGUGGAAUUCCGCGUGUAGCAGUGAAAUGCGUAGAGAUGCGGAGGAACACCGAUGGCGAAGGCAGCCCCCUGGGCUAACACUGACGCUCAGGCACGAAAGCUAGGGUAGCGAACGGG